GAUGAAGAACGCAGCGAAAUGCGAUAAGUAGUGUGAAUUGCAGAAUUCCGUGAAUCAUCGAAUCUUUGAACGCACCUUGCGCUCCUUGGUAUUCCAAAGAGCAUGCCUGUUUGAGUAUCAUUAAAUUAUCAACUGUACCAAUUUGGUUGCAGAUUGGAUGUGGGAGAUUUUGCAGGCUUUUGAUUUCUCUUUGAGAAAACGGUCAGCUCUCCUGAAAUAUAUUAGCAGUGCCUUUGUUGGUUCAUUAGGUGUGAUAAUUUAUCUACAUCUUCACAUGGUACCUUCAUUUGUGUAAAGGUCAUAUUGCUUCUAAUUGUCUUUGGACAUAAAAAAAAAAAAACAUAUAAUUGUAUGGAAAACUUGAUCUCAAAUCAGGCAGGACUACCCGCUGAACUUAAGCAUAUCAAUAAGCGGAGGA
rnacentral:misc_RNA from 1 species